AUUGAACGCUGGCGGCAUGCCUUACACAUGCAAGUCGAGCGGUAACGGGCCUUCGGGUGCCGACGAGUGGCGAACGGGUGCGUAAUACAUCGGAACGUGCCCGAUCGUGGGGGAUAACGAGGCGAAAGCUUUGCUAAUACCGCAUACGAUCUACGGAUGAAAGCAGGGGACCGCAAGGCCUUGCGCGGACGGAGCGGCCGAUGGCAGAUUAGGUAGUUGGUGGGAUAAAAGCUUACCAAGCCGACGAUCUGUAGCUGGUCUGAGAGGAUGAUCAGCCACACUGGGACUGAGACACGGCCCAGACUCCUACGGGAGGCAGCAGUGGGGAAUUUUGGACAAUGGGCGCAAGCCUGAUCCAGCCAUGCCGCGUGCAGGAUGAAGGCCUUCGGGUUGUAAACUGCUUUUGUACGGAACGAAAAGCCUUCUUUUAAUACAGGAGGGUCAUGACGGUACCGUAAGAAUAAGCACCGGCUAACUACGUG
rnacentral:rRNA from 1 species